rnacentral:rRNA from 1 species
GACGAACGCUGGCGGCGUGCUUAACACAUGCAAGUCGAACGGAAAGGCCCUGCUUUUGUGGGGUGCUCGAGUGGCGAACGGGUGAGUAACACGUGAGUAACCUGCCCUUGACUUUGGGAUAACUUCAGGAAACUGGGGCUAAUACCGGAUAGGAGCUCCUGCUGCAUGGUGGGGGUUGGAAAGUUUCGGCGGUUGGGGAUGGACUCGCGGCUUAUCAGCUUGUUGGUGGGGUAGUGGCUUACCAAGGCUUUGACGGGUAGCCGGCCUGAGAGGGUGACCGGCCACAUUGGGACUGAGAUACGACCCAGACUCCUACGGGAGGCAGCAGUGGGGAAUAUUGCACAAUGGGCGGAAGCCUGAUGCAGCAACGCCGCGUGCGGGAUGACGGCCUUCGGGUUGUAAACCGCUUUCGCCUGUGACGAAGCGUGAGUGACGGUAAUGGGUAAAGAAGCACCGGCUAACUACGU